AAGAAAUGCAUCCCUAGUGAUAACCUAAGCAUGUGAAAAUGCUGUGAUCUGAUUACCAAAAAUGAGUGGAAGGCUCAUGACAGAACCAACAUCGGAGUGGCAUCAUGGUGCAGGAGUGCCGGCUGAGAGAUCUGCACACCCCAGCUGCGGAGAAGGUUUCCUUUAGGUACUGGAAGCUUGCAAGCUGGAGGAUUCUACCAUAGACCUCCCAUUCCAGUAAUCUUGUAUCAAAUGGAAAAAUGACUCUAUUUUCGUAUGGCUUCAAGGAGAAACAGACUUCAGCUGGAAAGGGGUUUUACAACAGCAACACCAGGGAAACCAGGGGCCUGAAACAUAGACCUAAGAAGUUCUGAAUCUAUGUUUGUAUGUUGCUGCUCUCAUCUUCCACGUCCUUGCCAGGAAAUAUUGCGAAGACCACUGCCCUGAACACUUGGUGUAUAAUUCAAGGGGUGAAGCAAUCACAAAGUCCCUAAAGGAGGAACAGGAAGAUGCCAGAAGACAUCUCCAUGAUACAGGCACUGAGCCUGACUCCAAAAUCCACAUAUGAUCCAGAUCCAUGUCCCUUCUUCAAUGCUGAUGCUCUGUUGCCCUGCUUGGUGCUACAGACUCUGGUGCUUACUCCAGACUGUGACACGCCUGUAUUGGCUGCCCCAAGGUCUACCCGAGGAACCUGUUCUGUGUGUGAAGGUGUCCAGCACCACAACAGGACUCCUUGCUUCUGUUGCUCUGGCAUUCACACUUUACCCAGCUAACAUUUAAAAACUCUCCCAGCAGGAGCAACGCUCUGGCCUGCAGGAGAAGCCCAUGGUCACUCAUCUGAUGACACUCGGCAGCCCACAGCUGCAAGAAGGAAAAUGUUGGAAGAGUUUCCUCUACAAAGUCACCUAUCUAGGCUUUCUUCCCACUGGAAAACUGGAGGUGGUGGCUGCUGCUCAUCAGAUCACACAUAUCUUCCACAUCUCCUUCUCAUGGGAACAGCCUGGGUUCUAGGGAGCAACAUACUCACCAGCCCCUCCACAGAGAGCCAGCAAGGAGAGUGUGUGGCUGAAUGCAUGCUGCACUCCGUAGCUGUGACCUGUCUGGGCUGGGGGCAGCUGCUAUGGGGUGUGAGCUCCUUUCAGCCUUUCCCUUGUGCUGGACCCAUUCACACAGCCCUGUGCUCAUCACUGCAGGUGUUAGCAGGAGCACUACAGGUGCCAACAGUCCCAGCUUUUAUUUCUCUAAUAAGGACCUGUAGCUGGACUUUGUGCCUGGGGCCAUGUUUUUUCUGGAGCUGGAUAAAUACAGAGGAAAUGUGAGAUGGUGUCUAACCCCCCAUGUGAGUGAUGUGCCUCACAGAAGGUUUGAGCACUGUGGUGGCAGCCUCCAUCCAAAAGAAAUACUCUGGAUAUAGUGGUCUCUGUGCUGUCCUGAAAUGUGAUCCAGCACUUCUAGCACAGGGCAAGCAGCAGAGAGGGAAAAAUCAAGUACACCUGACUAUGAGAAUUUUAAAGAUGGAAGUAGAUCCUUAUACAGCUACACAAAGAGCUCAGCUCUCUUGGCCAGCAUCAGAAUGCUUGAAUAAAAAAAUGGCUUAUAGAUCCUUCAUAGGGAUACUAACACUGUUAGUUCAGAACUGGCCAAGCCAGCACCCCACAGGUAUAUGGGAAGGAAAUUUAGUAUUCCAAUUGUCAGUGCAAUGUUAGCAAAGGUAGAGGUGGCUCAUAAUGUGCUGUGCCUUGUGAGGAUUGGUGACACUACCCCAGUUGCAGAAGUCAUACAAUCAUUUAGGUUGGAAGGCCUUAAAGAUUGAGUGAAACCAUUUACCUAAUGCUACCAUAUCUGCCACUAGACCCCUUCCAUUUGAUUUCUCAGCAUUCACUACAGUAUUAUUAUUAGUUCAGCUUAGUCACAGAGUCUUCCAGGGACAAACAAACCCAAAUUCCUGAUGUUAAAAAACAAACAAACAAAAGAAACACAAGCAAAGAGGGGAAAAAUAUCAGGAGGAAAAUGUGUCCUUUGUGCACUGCAGCACAGUCAAAGCAAAACACACCCAUGCUCCCCCCUACUUUGCAGUUCACUUUUAGUUUGUGCUGUGUCCAAUAACUGAAAGCUGUCUCACUGCUGGACUGGACACAGGGAUGUGUCAGAGAUUCCCUCUUGUUCCCAUGGGUGGGAUGUGAAGAAUUCCUCUCUUCAUAGCUGACAUUCCUGCUGCACUGAGACAAUAACAUACAAUUCUUGUCCAAACAAUCCUAGAUAGACGCUGUGAUUUUUUUUCUAAUUAUAUAAAUAUGAGAAUGUCCAUUGGAUAUGAAGCUUCCUGGACAAAACCUGUAUUAAAAAACAGAAUAUCCCAUGCUCACCACCUGCAGUUAAGUGACAUACUUAGGGCGUUCUUAUCCUGACUUCCCAAGAUUAAUUAUUCAAGACUGGAAAGGGGAUUCAAAUUCACACAUAGCUAUUCAAAUAAAUUUUACCCCUGGGAGAUGCAGGAGUCAGUAAUAUGGUCAACUGUUCAUUUCCCCUAAUAGCAACUGACACAGGCACUAAAGUCUGCAGUGGUGUGUAUUGUACCUAAGCAUAAGCCAGGUGUUUUAUCAUAAAGCCAUAACACUUUACCAGCAGUUUUAGAGUAAAGUGUCAUUUUGUCUGACAUGUUUGUGCUGCAGGGAUGGGGUGGAAACAGAAGGGUUUGUGGUUGGUUGGGGGCUUUUUUAGGUUAUUAGUUGGAAAUACAAGCAUGAGUCAAAACUGAAUAUGGGUCACAAACUGCCAAAGUGCUCUUUCUGUUCUGAAGACAUUACUAUAGCUAGUUAAAAGCAAAUUUUACUGUUAUCGUUGUCAUCACUUUUAGGUGAGGUUCUGGUGGAACCCAGUGCAGACAAGUAAGGAAAGAGAUGACUCUGAUCUUCAGUUCAGGUUCUGUGUGUUAACAACCCACAAAAAUGAAGAUGUUUAUGUUUGUGGUUCCAGAGCAAACCAAAACGAAAGAGAAGUCUUAACUGCAAAAUAAGGGCUUGAGGGUUGGGCAAAUUUCCCACUGCCUUGCCAGGCUGAGGUUGUCGAUAUCAGUGAUUAAUGUCCAUCUGGGUUCUGAGGCUGUUUUUAACCAGGGACAGCAUCAGAGCUAUGCAUGCAUCAAAGAAACACUGGGGUGUCAGACCUGUUAAGUUGUGUGAAGGUGUCACCCCUGAUUAGGUUAUGCUUUAUUACACUCUGGAGAUCUCAGAAACAUUCUCCUUGUACCUUUGCUUACAUGAAGCUUGCUCCUUUCUGUGCCCCAAAAGAAAACUCUUUCUUCUCUCAAGAUUAAUUAAAAGUAUCAGCUUUUCAUUAUGUGGGGUUUAUAUAUUUUAUUCAGUUUUUUAAAACUUGAUUUGCCCUGGAAUCUGAUGGAGGAAAUUUGGAAUGACAGCAUAGCAGAACCAAUGUAGCUUGUACUCUCUACAGAGAAAGGUUAUCUUGCCAUUCAAAAGUAGACCUAUGGAAAACAACAGGGUUAAUUGCUUAAAAAAGUGGAUUUUUCCUAAAGUAAUUUAGUGAUACUGUAGCCCAUGAGUGAGAGGCUCUGGCUCCUCUACAGAGCUACUCCUUUAUGGAGCAGACAGAGCUCUGUUGAUCAUCACACUUUUGAAAUAUUCCUUAAAUUCAUGGACUGAUAUCUCAGAGCUACUUUGUGUUGAUUCGGGCUUUCUGAUUUUGCAUACUCAAAUCCAGAAGCUUCAGUCCCUCCACAAGGUCUUGCUUUCCACAGUGCAAAAUAGGAAUAAUUUGAAACUGCAGAAAAGUUUAAUAGUAAUCAGACCAGUAAAUUUUUCAUUCAUUUUUUUCAAUUCCUGAAGAAGAGACAAGACCCUCCAAAAAUUGACUCUGCCUACAACCAUUUGUCCUCAAAGUAAUUUGGAUUCUGGAUGAGUGGAAAUACAUCAACAAAUGUUAUGCAGAGAUAAGAGUUCUAUCUUCUGCAAGGAACUAUUUGCAGAGUAUCCAUAGGAUAAGUUUUGGGAGCUGUUUUACUAUAAAAACACAUGUUUAUAAGUGCACACUUAGAGACACUAGAACAUGCAAAAGGGUAUUGAUGCAUAAUACAAGCUAAUUUUCACAGAGCAAACAUCACUUACGUUCAACGUCUUUCUAGGCAAAUCACUGGCUUUCAGCCAAGUAAAUUUUUUUCAACACAAGAAAAAAUGAAAUCACUUACUGGAACGAACCUACUGAUUCAUUUUUGGUUACUUUCACCCCUCAGUCCAAUGUCCAGGCAACAAAUGACUCCUUUUCCUGAGCUAGUCAGGACUGUGAGAUGCCAGACAAAGCCAGACUCUGCAGAGCUGUGCGGGAAGCCCUCAGCCUACAAUCCAUAAGUGAGGACCUCACUGGCAAGUGGGACUGGAUCCUGCCAAAUGACAGGCUCUUUAGAUAAUCUCUCAUCAAAAUAGAAAACUUUGGAUACAAUGCACAAACACACACCAAAGAUAAACUAAGUUUUUAAGUAACAUUUACUUACCUAGUACAAAAAAAAAAAGCAACACAAAAUAAAAAAAAUCACAACCAACAAAAAACCUCACCUACUUUGUUCAUUUUUUGCCUUUCCCCCUCCCCUUCUUUUCAGAAAACUAAAUUAAAGGCUAGAGUGCAAUGUAAGGAGUAGUGGUAUAAAAUACUAUAUAGUAAACACACAUACUUUACAGAAAACUUGGAUGAGGCUUUUAAAAGCACAACAACAGAGCAUGCCACAGAAGGCAUGGUUGCUGUACAUGACUGCAGAUGGGUUUGGGCCAUUUGGUUUUUUCAGUCAUGAUUUCAAAAACCGAUAUAUAAAAUCUCUGCCUUGUCUCAUUGUAUAAUGAAAAAAGACUUCCCUGGUAUUUUUGCUGGGUUUUCCCCUCCUUCCUAGUAAAUUUCCUAAUAAUGUUACAUAAAGAUGGAUUUGAUGUGGUAAUCAAACCUCUAUAAAACAACAAUUUUUUAUUGCUCAUUUUAUUUGGAUUCAGAAUUGGGAAGCUAAAGUGUUGCAAACAAUCCUAUUUGGCCACUAAAAUGACAUUAUAUUUAUAGCAACUGCCCAUCAACAUGUAAAUGUGAAAAAACCAGUGCCAAUUCAAUUUUUUUCUUAAAUGUAGAAGUGAUGUAUUUAAGUUCCUCUAGGCACCAUGUGCAAUAGAGAGAUGGGAUUCACAGCUACACACCACAUAAAUUUCUUGCAGUUUCUCCUUUAUUUCUCUGUAUGCUCACAUUUGAUUUUGAGGCCCUAGUUAAUGCUGUUUUGACCAAAAAUCAUCUAUUAUUAUUAUUACUGUUUUCUAUUUAGGUACAAGCCCCUUUACAUUAAAACAUGGUGCAUUUAAUAAAGAAAGACUGUAAGAUCUUGUCUCUCACUUUUUAUUUAAAAUGUUUUGCUUUUAUUCCUGUUCAAAACCACAGAAUACAUUCUUGCUGCAAGUAUCUCAAGACUACAUGGAGGUUUUUUUGUAGGUUGUAGGUUUGCAGAUUUUGU